AAACUACGUUAAACGGUGUGAAUUGCAGAACACGCAGAACACUGGAACUUUGAACGCACAUGGCAGGUUAGUGUGAUAACUAACCUUUGUCUGUGUGAGGGUUGUAAUCAGAGAAUAAAGGCUACUUUUUGAAAGGCGGGGAGGUUGCCUGUUAAAUGUGUGACAUGCCCGCUGAUCGCAGUAGAAACACACUUGUGUUGCGCCUCUGGCCAGCGUCGGAGGAAAACAGCAACUGGACUCGUGUGAAGGGUAGAGGAGUUUGCUGGAGUUGAUACGCUGUCAAGAGCGUAGUCAGAAGCAGUAGUUCCCUAUCCUGCCUAUCUUUUUCACAACCUCACAUCAGGCAAGAUUACCCGCUUAAUUUAA
rnacentral:misc_RNA from 1 species